GGGGGCCCGCAAGUGGUGGAGCAUGUGGUUUAAUUCGAUGAUACGCGAGGAACCUUACCUAGGCUAGAAUGCGCGUGACCGGCUCAGAGAUGAGCCUUUCCUUCGGGACACAAAGCAAGGUGCUGCAUGGCCGUCGUCAGCUCGUGCCGUGAGGUGUUGGGUUAAGUCCCGCAACGAGCGCAACCCCUAUGUUUAGUUGCCAGCAUGUAAUGAUGGGGACUCUAGACAGACUGCCUGCGCAAGCAGUGAGGAAGGCGGGGACGACGUCAGGUCAUCAUGGCCCUUACGCCUAGGGCGACACACGUGCUACAAUGGACGGUACAGCGGGUAGCUACACAGCGAUGUGAUGCCAAUCUCGAAAAGCCGUUCUCAGUUCGGAUCGGAGUCUGCAACUCGACUCCGUGAAGCUGGAAUCACUAGUAGUCGCGCAUCAGCCAUGGCGCGGUGAAUACGUUCCCGGGCCUUGUACACACC
rnacentral:rRNA from 1 species